CCCCUCUCAGAACUGGGGGUUCUGGCAUGCUGGCUCCUCUGCCCAGCUCCCAGUGAGCCGAGCAGGUGGUCACAAAACCCGACAGUGGUCCGUCAUCCUGACCACGCCUGGGAUUCCUCAACACCAGCUCCUGGCUCUCAUUCCUUCCAGACCUCAGAGCAUCCCACUCUGCUCUGGACAGUUUUGAAAUCACCAGAAGAGUGGUGGCAGGUGCCAAGAUCAUGAGCCCAUUUCAGAGUUGGUGAAACUGAGGUCUGAGUGGGACAGGCUAUGGGACUCUCCUUCACCCCAUUUUCCCGAGCUGGGAAAUGCACUCUUUCAUUCUUCAAGCACUUGGGAGUCCUUGCCAGGCACAGGGCUGGAUGCUACAGAUGUAAUGGGACGGUGGGGGGUGGGGUGGGGUGUCCCGGGAGGGUGUCCUGCCUUCAUCUGGCUCCUGAUCCAGGGGUGGAGACAAAUGUGCAGCCAAAUCUCCAAAGUAAAAUUAAAUGGGAAAGCAGGAUGAGGGCUGUGAAGGAUAAAACGGAGCUCAGGGAGCUGAUAUAAGAGGAACACUGGGUCUGGUCUGGGGACAUCCUGCAACGCUUCCCUGAGCUUCCUCAGAUUAAAGCUUCUGAUAAUCAGGUUGAAAUCUGAUCGUGGGGAGAGGGCGGAGAACUUUCCAGACAGAGGGAACCUCAUGUGUGAAGGCUGGCGUGGCAGACCAGGCAAGGUGUCAACAGGAUGGAAAUAAAACCAGAGACCAUGCUGAGAUUCUUCCGUGGAGAUCCAAAAAGGAGCAUUCUGCUUCCCAGCACUUCUUGCCAAGGAUGAUCUCAGAUUCAUCUGCUCCCAUUCACAGUAAUCAACAGAUUCCCUCCAGUGUCCUUCACACAGUUGGGUCCCCAGUGCAUCUCAUGAUUUGAAAGAGAAGAUAAGCAGUUAAGAGGAAGAAAGAAGAGGGGAAGAAGAAAGAGGAGAAGGAAGGAAAGAUGGAGGGAAACAUCUCAGGAGGGCCAUGCCCCAAGAAGGAUGGCCACUCCCAGCAGGAGCUCUGAGUCUGCACCUCCGCCAACCAGUGGACGCCCAGCACCCCAUUAUCAUUCCACUGCCUUCCAACGGAAAUUAUAAGCACUUUGUGUCAACCCCCGUCCACCCCGGCAGCUGCGCCGAGGGAAAGCGAUUGAGGUCAAGGGAGGCAGACAGCCUACCCAUCACGGCCACCGUGGCCAUUCCUCACGCGGUGACAUGCAAUCUCCCGCCGAGGGUCACCUCUGGGGAAGCGAUUCCUUCCAGCCCAGAACAAGUGCCAAAUUGCAGCUUUGCCGGAUAAUCACGUGGAACACAUUGAAAAUAGCCGCCUCCGUAAUAAAUGGUUAACCAAAGCAGCCCCUUCCUCCA
rnacentral:lncRNA from 1 species